UUUUAUGGAGAGUUUGAUCCUGGCUCAGGAUAAACGCUGGCGGCGUGCCUAAUACAUGCAAGUCGAGCGAACGGACGAGAAGCUUGCUUCUCUGAUGUUAGCGGCGGACGGGUGAGUAACACGUGGAUAACCUACCUAUAAGACUGGGAUAACUUCGGGAAACCGGAGCUAAUACCGGAUAAUAUUUUGAACCGCAUGGUUCAAAAGUGAAAGACGGUCUUGCUGUCACUUAUAGAUGGAUCCGCGCUGCAUUAGCUAGUUGGUAAGGUAACGGCUUACCAAGGCAACGAUGCAUAGCCGACCUGAGAGGGUGAUCGGCCACACUGGAACUGAGACACGGUCCAGACUCCUACGGGAGGCAGCAGUAGGGAAUCUUCCGCAAUGGGCGAAAGCCUGACGGAGCAACGCCGCGUGAGUGAUGAAGGUCUUCGGAUCGUAAAACUCUGUUAUUAGGGAAGAACAUAUGUGUAAGUAACUGUGCACAUCUUGACGGUACCUAAUCAGAAAGCCACGGCUAACUACGUGCCAGCAGCCGCGGUAAUACGUAGGUGGCAAGCGUUAUCCGGAAUUAUUGGGCGUAAAGCGCGCGUAGGCGGUUUUUUAAGUCUGAUGUGAAAGCCCACGGCUCAACCGUGGAGGGUCAUUGGAAACUGGAAAACUUGAGUGCAGAAGAGGAAAGUGGAAUUCCAUGUGUAGCGGUGAAAUGCGCAGAGAUAUGGAGGAACACCAGUGGCGAAGGCGACUUUCUGGUCUGUAACUGACGCUGAUGUGCGAAAGCGUGGGGAUCAAACAGGAUUAGAUACCCUGGUAGUCCACGCCGUAAACGAUGAGUGCUAAGUGUUAGGGGGUUUCCGCCCCUUAGUGCUGCAGCUAACGCAUUAAGCACUCCGCCUGGGGAGUACGACCGCAAGGUUGAAACUCAAAGGAAUUGACGGGGACCCGCACAAGCGGUGGAGCAUGUGGUUUAAUUCGAAGCAACGCGAAGAACCUUACCAAAUCUUGACAUCCUUUGACAACUCUAGAGAUAGAGCCUUCCCCUUCGGGGGACAAAGUGACAGGUGGUGCAUGGUUGUCGUCAGCUCGUGUCGUGAGAUGUUGGGUUAAGUCCCGCAACGAGCGCAACCCUUAAGCUUAGUUGCCAUCAUUAAGUUGGGCACUCUAAGUUGACUGCCGGUGACAAACCGGAGGAAGGUGGGGAUGAUGUCAAAUCAUCAUGCCCCUUAUGAUUUGGGCUACACACGUGCUACAAUGGACAAUACAAAGGGCAGCGAAACCGCGAGGUCAAGCAAAUCCCAUAAAGUUGUUCUCAGUUCGGAUUGUAGUCUGCAACUCGACUACAUGAAGCUGGAAUCGCUAGUAAUCGUAGAUCAGCAUGCUACGGUGAAUACGUUCCCGGGUCUUGUACACACCGCCCGUCACACCACGAGAGUUUGUAACACCCGAAGCCGGUGGAGUAACCUUUUAGGAGCUAGCCGUCGAAGGUGGGACAAAUGAUUGGGGUGAAGUCGUAACAAGGUAGCCGUAUCGGAAGGUGCGGCUGGAUCACCUCCUUUCUAA
rnacentral:rRNA from 1 species